CUCUAUUCCCCACCCCCCAACAUGGCUGCACUGAAGCGUGAGCCUCAGCCUCAGUGUUUGUAGGGAAUGAUCAUAUUUUAACCCUAGCAGGGUGCCACUGCACCUUGACUCCAAACUUGAGGUGUUCCAGAGGGUCCUUGAGCGCUGCCAUUCGAGAGGCUACCAUUUAGGUCCAUGGCUUUCUCCGUGCACAGGAAAGGGCACUCUGUGAGGUUCUACAAGGUGACUCUCUGCCUAGCUUUACCGGCACCAGGCAAUGGUUCUGACCUCACUCUCGGGCCUUUGGUGUGGGGAAAGAGCCUGCAGCCAGGACAGCUACUGCUUGAGGUCACUAAGGAAUGCUCACAGCCACCGAGAUCUGCUUCCCACCGUACAGGAGGCUCUCCUCUUCCUGGCCACCCUGAAGGUCCAACUCCCUUCAGAAUGCUCUGGUGACAUUAAAACUCAGAUGUCCUUCGGAACAGAGACCUGCAUGAAUCCUGUACUCGCCGGUGCUGAGGUGGGGGUGGGGAAUGGGGCUGGGGCAUGACCUCAAAGACUACCACACAGCCCCCAGAAGUGGCUUCACUACAGCACCCAGCCUUGUGGAGACCCCCAUCUUUCACUGGCUGACACAGUGCAGGAGCGCUGCCUUCCCAGGCUGUUUAUUGCUUUAAUGUGUCAGCGUGGGUAACAGAACGCAGGCAAGGAAGGCUUAAUUAUAAAAAGGAAUCUUUUCAAGACA
rnacentral:lncRNA from 1 species